ensembl:snRNA U6 U6 spliceosomal RNA
UUCACUUCAGCGUCAGAUCUACUAAAACAGGAACAACACAGAGAAGAUUAGCAUGUUCCCUGUACAAGGACGACAUGCAAAUUUAUCAAGUGUACCAUAUUAUA